rnacentral:lncRNA from 1 species
UGGGACAGCUUUCAGGCCAGCUGGGAGCAGGCAUGGGACCCUGGUGCCGUCGGCCUCCCAAAAGAAUCUUGGUGGCAGGGCUGACAUCGGAAGAGAGACCAGCAUUUCUGGAGCCAAGGGCCGUGGAGAGGAGUGGCUGGCAGGCCACGUAGGCUGGCCCUUUUGCUUGGCACAAGCAGGACUUCCCAGGCCAUCCAAGCCACUCUUCAGCCCCUGCUUCCAGUCCAGAAGCAAUGAGUGGUUCCUUCACCGUGAACCCCAUCCAUUUAGGAACAACUAAUGUGGUCAUAAGGCUCUCAGCUAGGGAAAACCAGAUAUCCACAAUGAAACUAGACCCCUAUGUUGCACCGCAUUAAAAAAUAAUAAUAAAUUAGAAUGGAUCAAAGGCCUAGGUGUGAACCCUGAAACCAUUAGAAAGCAGAGGACAUCACAGUGGCACGUGCCUGAAACCCCAGCUACUAAGAAGACUGAGGCAGAAGGAUGCUAAGUUAGGAAAUCAUCUCAAAAAUAAAUUGGUCAGGGAUAUAAUUCAGGCCAGGAGAAAUACUUCACAAUGUGUUUAGGCAAUAUUUUUUUUGUUUGUUUUUGUUUUUUUGGGGGGGGGAUUAGAUCCUCAAAACAGGCAAAAGUGGUAUUAUGUCAAACUAAGAUGCUUCUGCAAAGCAAAGGAAAUGAAUGAAGAGACAACCUGCAAAAUGUGAGAAAAUAUUUGCAAACUAUUUGAGAAUUUAGUAUCCAGAGUAUAUAAAGAACUCAAAAUCACAACAGCAAAUAACCCAGCAAAAAGAUGAGCAAAUGACCCGAACAGACAUUUCACAAAAGCAGAUUUACAUAUGAAAAAAAUGCUCAACAUCACUAAUCAUCAGGGCAAUGUAAAUCAAAACCAUAGUGAGAGAUCUCCCUCCAGUUAGAAUGGUGAUAAUAAAAAAGAAAAAAGUUAAAUGUUUUCAAGGAUGUUGAGAAAGGAAAACUUACACUGUUGGUGGGAAUGUAAAUUAAUACAACCAUUAUAGAAAAUGACAUGGGAGUCCCUCAAAGAGCUGAAAAUAGAACUUCCAUAAAAUCCAGCCAUCCCACUACAGGUAUCCAUCCAGAAGAAAUCAGUAUGUCAAAGUUAUAACACAUCCUCAUGUUUACUGCAGUACGACUCAUGAUAGCCAAGAAAUGGAAUCAGGAGUUGUCUAAGAACAGAUGAAUGCAUAAGGAAAAUGACAUAAAUACACAAUUGUUAUUCGGCCAUAGAAAAGAAUGAAAUCUGUCCCAAUGUGGAUAGAACUGAAGGACAUUACAUUUGUGAAAUAAGCCAGACACAGAAAGACAGAGACCUCAUGUUCUCAUGUGGAAACUAGAAAAAUUGGCUUCAUGGAACAGAGUAGAAUAGUGUCCAUACAGACUAGGGUGGGGGGGGGGUAGGGAGAAGGGGAGCCAGAGGGAGGUCUGAUAAUAGGACCAAAAUGCAGUUAGAUAGGUGGAAUACAUUCUAGUGCUCUACAAUACAGUAGGUGACAAUAGUUUACAACAGUUUAUUAAAUAUUUUAUAAAGAACUAGAAGAGAGGAGUUUGAGGAUUCCCAAUACAAAUAAACAAUAAAUGUUUAGGGAGAUAAAAAUGCCAAUUACUCUGAUUUGAUCAUUGCAAAUAGUAUUUGUGUAUGUAUUUAUCACAUUCCAUAAAUAUGCAUGAUUAUUGUUUCAAUUAAAAAUUUAAAAGGGGGAAGAUGUUCUUUGCUGAUGAAACUAUUUUAGAACAGUUUGCUAAAACACAUUUCUUAGAAUAAAUGGAAUAAAUACUAUAUUAUCUAUAUACGUGUAUAUGUGGAAGUCCCGUUCCACAUACAGGACUUUGCGAUUGUAUUUAAUCUACAGAUCAGUUUGGGGAGAAUUGACAUCUAUGAUACAUUGAAUUUUCCAAUUACUGGCUUGAUCUUUCAUUUGUUUAGUCUUUCUUAAAUUUCCCUCAAUUACUAUAUCUAUAUACAUGUAUAUAGAUAUAGUAAUCUAGAUAGCAAUACUAUAACAUUUUGCAGGGGGGCAUGCAGUAGUACAAUUUGAUGAUCUCCAAUCUUUUAACCACUGUGUGGAAUUUCAUUGUAUGUAUCAUUAAAGUUCUAACCAUUUGUUAACAUAAAUAUUUAGGUUGUCUCUGAAUAUUUUCUAUUUUAGAAAUAUUGUAAUGAACAUCCAUGAGUAUGUGUAUAGAAGUAUUUGGAUUGAAAUUGUUGACUCCAGUGUCAUUUACAUUGUAAUUUUUUAUAGGAAAAUUUUAAAUGGCUCUUCAAACUGAUUGAGACAAUAAAUACUGUAUGGCAAGGACCUUUCUCCAGUUUUGCCAACAGUGAUAAUCACUUUUCAAUGAAUGCUUUGGUGAAUACAAUGAAUACAGUUUUACUUAACCUUUAAAUGUUCUAUUUAGCACAAAAACUGUGUGUGUGUGUGUGUGUAUUUUGCUGGGGAUUGGACCCAGGGCCUUGUGCAUGUGAGGAAAGCCCUCUACCAACUGAACUAUGUCCCCAGCCCACAAAAAUGGCUUCUUUGAGAAUCCAGCACCUCUAAUUGUAUCAGGCACCUUGUGACACUCAAUGUAUCUGUCAUGGGGCUGAGGCUGUGGCUCAG